rnacentral:rRNA from 1 species
AUCGAACGCUGGCGGCAUGCCUUACACAUGCAAGUCGAACGGCAGCACGGGAGCAAUCCUGGUGGCGAGUGGCGAACGGGUGAGUAAAGUAUCGGAACGUGUCCCGUCGUGGGGGAUAACGUAGCGAAAGUUACGCUAAUACCGCAUACGAUCGAUGGAUGAAAGCGGGGGAUCGCAAGACCUCGCGCGAUUGGAGCGGCCGAUGUCGGAUUAGGUAGUUGGUGGGGUAAAGGCUCACCAAGCCGACGAUCUGUAGCUGGUCUGAGAGGACGACCAGCCACACUGGGACUGAGACAGGGCCCAGACUCCGACGGGAGGCAGCAGUGGGCAAUUUGGGACAAUGGGCGAAAGCCUGAUCCAGCCAUGCCGCGUGCAGGAUGAAGGCCUUCGGGUUGUAAACUGCUUUUGUACGGAACGAAAAGGUUUGGGCUAAUAAGCUGAGCUCAUGACGGUACCGUAAGAAUAAGCACCGGCUAACUACGUGCCAGCCGCCGCCGUAAGAC